rnacentral:rRNA from 1 species
UACGUAGGGUGCAAGCGUUGUCCGGAAUUAUUGGGCGUAAAGAGCUCGUAGGCGGUUUGUCACGUCGGCUGUGAAAACCCGAGGCUCAACCUCGGGCCUGCAGUCGAUACGGGCAGACUAGAGUAUGGCAGGGGAGACUGGAAUUCCUGGUGUAGCGGUGAAAUGCGCAGAUAUCAGGAGGAACACCGGUGGCGAAGGCGGGUCUCUGGGCCAUAACUGACGCUGAGGAGCGAAAGCGUGGGGAGCGAACGGG